rnacentral:tRNA from 1 species
GACGCUAUGGUCUAGAGGUAUGAUUGCUGUUUUGGGUCCUCCCAUACGCAUACAGCGGGUCCCGCGUUCGAACCGCGGUAGCGUCC